GAUGAACGCUGGCGGCGUGCCUAAUACAUGCAAGUCGAGCGAACGGACGAGAAGCUUGCUUCUCUGAUGUUAGCGGCGGACGGGUGAGUAACACGUGGAUAACCUACCUAUAAGACUGGGAUAACUUCGGGAAACCGGAGCUAAUACCGGAUAAUAUUUUGAACCGCAUGGUUCAAAAGUGAAAGACGGUCUUGCUGUCACUUAUAGAUGGAUCCGCGCUGCAUUAGCUAGUUGGUAAGGUAACGGCUUACCAAGGCAACGAUGCAUAGCCGACCUGAGAGAGUGAUCGGCCACACUAGAGCUGAGACGCGGUCCAGACUCCUACGGGAGGCAGCAGAAGGGAAUCGUACGCAAUGGGCGAAAGCAUGACGGAGCAACGCCGCGUGAGUGAUGAAGGUCUUCGGAUCGUAAAACUCUGUUAUGAGGGAAGAACAUAUGUGUAAGUAACUGUGCACAUAGUGACGGUACCUAAUCAGAAAGCAACGGCUAACUACGUG
rnacentral:rRNA from 1 species